rnacentral:rRNA from 1 species
UAUGGCCACAUCAUAUUGAAAUACCAGUUCCCAUAUAUGAUCACCAAAGUUAAGCAACAUUGAGCUUAGUCAUUACCUAGAUGGGUGACUGCUUGGGAAUACUGGGUGGGGU